rnacentral:rRNA from 1 species
CAGCCGCCGCGGGAAUACGUAGGUGGCAAGCGUUGUCCGGAAUUAUUGGGCGUAAAGCGCGCGCAGGCGGAUCAGUCAGUCUGUCUUAAAAGUUCGGGGCUUAACCCCGUGAUGGGAUGGAAACUGCUGAUCUAGAGUAUCGGAGAGGAAAGAGGAAUUCCUAGUGUAGCGGUGAAAUGCGUAGAUAUUAGGAAGAACACCAGUGGCGAAGGCGACUUUCUGGACGGAAACUGACGCUGAGGCGCGAAAGCCAGGGGAGCGAACGGGAUUAGAUACCCCCGUAGUCCCUGUCUCUUAUACA